rnacentral:rRNA from 1 species
AUUGAACGCUGGCGGCAUGCCUUGCACAUGCAAGUCGAACGGUAACAGGUCUUCGGAUGCUGACGAGUGGCGAACGGGUGAGUAAUACAUCGGAACGUGCCUAGUAGUGGGGGAUAACUACUCGAAAGAGUGGCUAAUACCGCAUGAGAUCUACGGAUGAAAGCAGGGGAUCGCAAGACCUUGUGCUACUAGAGCGGCCGAUGGCAGCUUAGGUAGUUGGUGGGAUAAAAGCUUACCAAGCCGACGAUCUGUAGCUGGUCUGCGAGGACGAUCAGCCCCACUGGGGCUGAGACACGGCCCAGACUCCUACGGGAGGCAGCAGUGGGGAAUUUUGGACAAUGGGCGAAAGCCUGAUCCAGCAAUGCCGCGUGCAGGAUGAAGGCCUUCGGGUUGUAAACUGCUUUUGUACGGAACGAAAAGCCCCGGGUUAAUACCCUGGGGUCAUGACGGUACCGUAAGAAUAAGCACCGGCUAACUACGUGCCAGCCGCCGCCGUAA